CCCCGGUACCGGGACGGCCGCGGGGUGCCCCGGUGUGGUCUGCGGUCUGUCCGGGCGCUGCUGCAGCGCUGACCGCCGUGGGCAGGUGCGGGUCUGAAGGGAAAUAACGGCUUCUUUGGGAUCGGGUCUAUCCCACCCGCACUCGUGUACCCCGCAUAACUGCACCGAAGGACUCCUUUUCCUUUUCCCCCUUUUUUUCCUUUCCCCUUCUUCCAGCUUCAGUUAUCUGAGCUGUUUUCUCCAAUCCCUGCUGCUUGCCUCCGCCUGGCUAUUGCUCUCAUAGCUACUUUCUGAUACAGCAAAGAGAGGCAGAAGGGAACCGGUGCCUCACAGACAGCCCCUUCCCCGGCACAGCACGGCUCUCCCAGAAAGGGAUCAGCAUUUGGGAAGCCAGAUUCUGUGAAGUCUCUGGAUAUAAACUGAUUGAUGCAGAUUGUAAUUAACCAAAACUGUAUUUUCCCUUCGUUCUACAUCACAUCAAGUGUGAAUAGUGGCUGGUGGUGGCAGAGCCGGAGGCUGGAAAAAAGGAGAAAAUGGGCUUUGUUAGAAGAGAGCAGCGGAGCAGUGUGAGCAGGGAGGGCUGUGCUGAGGAGAUGGGGCAGGCUGAGGCCAGACCAGGAGCUCAGCACAAAUGUUUUAAGACUGGUGGCCAUGAGUUCCUUCUCUUUCUGUGGUCUUCUCCUUAAAUCCAGAGGUGAGCUGAAAUCUCAGGGGCCAAUGCACCCCUGGGUGUUGGGGAGACAGAGGUGCCAAUGGGAGAACUCAGAUGAACCCAUGGCAUCAGGGUUUCCCAGAAGUGCCAGAGUUGAAAGCCCCACUCUGCACCUUUGCCCUCGGCAGCUGAAAUCCAGCUGUGCCUCUGCCAGCUCUCCUUAUGGGGAGGAAAAGCCCCAUUCAGCAAACAGCCAUUGCACAGGACGCAGUCAGGGGACCCAGACAAUAGGACAGGGAUGGCUGAUGCUCAAUGAUGGCUCAAUGCCAUCAGUGCUCCCAGAGUUGCUCUUCAGAUGCACAGGAUGCACAGAGCAGAGCUUGCAGAGAGUUGAGGUUUGGACAAAGAGCUUGUUGACACCAUCUGAAAAUGAGGUUGGGCACAAACAAGGCAGUGGGAUUUUCUCAACUCUUUGCCCUCAGCUCAAGAAACAAGGCUGUGAAGCAAGCUCUGGAGUUGCACUAUGAGUGUUCUGUUGAUGAAUACCAUAGAUGAGCUGAUGGAGUGAUCCAUCCUGUCUUCAGAGCACUUGGGGAAUGCUGGCUGUGGGGCUGAGAGGCGAAACAGCAGAGUGUGCUGCUCACCUCAUGCAGGGAAGACAAUAAGGUGCAGUAGAGACUUGUUUGUGGUGUCUUGCAUCUGUAUGACAUUGGGGGUUUUGGUGCUCAGAGCUGAGCUGUCGGCCUCACUGUGUGGGUUUGCAGCUGAGCUCUCAUGGCCCUGCAUCAAAGCGCUGCUCCUUGACCCCACUGAAGCUCUGGAGAUAAGGCUGCAAAUUCACCUCUGGGAAAACUGCAGCAGCUUUCUCAAAACUGAAAGUUGGAUGCGUUUAGCUCAGCUUGUCAGGCUCUGGAAAUCACAUGGUGCCAAGAGCAGGUGGCAGCCAAGCCAUGGAUAUAUGAGCUCUCAGCUCCAGCUCUCCCCGAGAUCUGCUCUCCUCUUGGAUCGAGCCUUUAUGGCCCUCAUAACUGAUUUUCGGUGUCGUCAGAGCUCGCCCAGUGCCUGGCAGGGCUGGGGAUGCAGCAUUGAGGCUCCCUCACCCUCUGAGCUGAGUCAGAAGCACCUCUGGCUGCCAGAGCCCUUGGCUCAUCUCCUGCUCUGUGCUUUGCAAAGCCGCAGACAGUUCUGCUCUUGUGAUUAAUGCUACAGAGCAACUGCUUCAGCAUUUGUGAUAACACAAACCUGAAGCAAAACUCUGUUUCUGCUUAUAGCAUCAAACGGGAAAUUAUGUAAUUCUAUGUGCACUGCUUGCUUUACUAAUAAAAGCUUUUCAAGCAGCAACGUUAAUUUGCUCAGCAGCACAACUGGCACGUCCGGGCCGCGGUGCUGCUGCCGCAUCAGCUCCCGGUACCCGGAGCAUCGCCCCGCUCUGCGCACGGGGCCGGAGGGAUGGGCUGCAAAAUAGGCUCAGCCUCCACUGACAUCAAAGGGAGCCCGGAGCAGCCCGCUGGGAUGGAGGCGGGGGCUGACGAGAGGCGGAAGAGCUGCGCCUUCCCCUGGGGACUGCAGAGGGCGGUGGUACCCAGCGCGGAGCAGGGCCGCUGUGGGCCGGGUUCAUCAGCGCUGCGAUGCUCAGGGGCUGUUGCUGCUCUCCUUCCCCGGGUGGAAAGGGGCCUCCCCGCAAGCGAAGCAGUGUCGGGGCACGCACAGAUCUCGUCUUGCCCUACUCCGAGCUCUUUGCAGGUGGAAACUGCCCGUGCAGAGGCAGGAGAGCUGCAGCUGUGUUGUUAUCGGGCAGUGUGUGUUGUCUGUGGUGUAGAGACUGACGGCUGAGACUCGGGGCAGCAGGAUGGAGGAUGCUCCGACAGCUGAAGGCAUCCUCAGAGCACAGCCAUGGGCAGAGCUGUGCUUUGAUCACCUGUAGGGUGCACGGUUCCCUGCUGGGCUCCUUUUUCUCUUCUCGCCUCCUUUGCAGUUUGUGGCUGUCGGUGCUUCUCGACAGAACCUUCCUCUGCCCCCGUCAAUCCCAGCAGCUGCUGCACACAGUGGCUGUGCUGUUUGGCAGGCGCAGGGCAAUGAGCUGCUGCCAGCCUUGUGCCUGUGGUGUCUGCCUUCCCCUGGGGCCCAAACCUCCCUCUGUCAUCCCUGUGCAGGAAGCCCUGCACAGCUCCAUUCUGUUUCUACUCAUUCCUUGUUCUGAAAGCCAAACUCAGCCCCAACAGCAGCCUCAGGCUGUGCCACAUUUCCUGGUGUUCCUGCACAGAAACAGCUGCAUUCAUGGGGCUCGAGAAUGAAUUCAUCUCUAUGGUGAACUGCACAGAGCUUCUGCAUGGGCUGCAGAAUUGCUGGAGAGAGACAGAAAAACAUGAGAACCACAACUGUUUUGGGUUCUGUGCCACCCAUUGCUGUGCCAGGGUGCUCUACGGGGCUUCGUUUCCUUCAGUGCUUCUUCAGCAUCACCGCAGCCUCAGCCUCCUGUUUGUCACAUGCCCUGGGCUCACACUGUCCCACCCUUCCUGUCUCAUCCAGAGCUGCUGUGGGGAAGGAGCUGCCAUGGCAGCUGUGCUUAUCGCUCCCCAGCAGCUGGGGAUGCCUGCCAAGCACAGCCCCAUCCUGCCAGACUCAGCAUGGGAAGGUUGUAUGUCUGUUCUCCUUAAUGCUCUCAGCAUCGGCUCUGCCAUGGAAGCCUGCAGGGAGUGGUGGGCUCCUUCUCACCUGGGGCCACUCAUUUGCCAUCAGUGAUGCAGAACCACCCUGCAGCUGCUGGCACUGCAGAAGGAGGCGGUGGCUCUGCAGCACGUGGUCAUACCCAGGAGAUGCACAGGGUGAGGUCCUACCGGGUCACCCCCUCAUUACAGGGAUGUGGCGGUUGAUUUUGGGGUCCCAUGGCAGCUCCACAUCCACGAUGACCAAAGGACCCACAGGGACAGUGGCCUUGGAGGUGGCUGAUGACUGCAGACUGCUGGAUUGCUCCACACCUGGAUGAGAUGUGAGGGUACAGGGGAUGUUGCCAGCUAUGGGUCUCCUCCUGAGCCUGGAUCAUCACAACAAAAGCAGGAAAGGUUGGAUGGGACCUUGGGCAACCUGAGCUGGAUUUCAGAUUUCAGCCCCCAAAAUGUGCCAAGCACGAGCCUUCAGCGAGAGUUUCGUCCACCCAACCCAUGCUGGAUGAACCUGGCUGUGUUUCUCUGCUGCUCGCUGGGGGAAUGAGGACAUCAGGAACUGGACACAUCUAGGAACAAGAGCAGGUGCUGGGGCUUGAAAGUCCAGGCUCACCCCAGCAAGGCACUGGGUCCUCAUUUAGCUGCCCAGCUUCUUAUAAAGUCAGAUUUGUCAUCUCAAAAUAGAGUUUGCUGCAGAACAGAGAAUAUUUAAGAGGGGUUUGUUAAGUAACAUCUGCUGCUGUACUGAAAGUUCAAUUCAAAGUGUUAAAAACUUUAAAGAAAAAAUGAGGUUUGGGUUAAAAUAAAAGGUCUUUGGAGAGGUGUCCUUGGCAGGAGCCUUUUCUCCCCUGUACAUACA